GGAACUACGAACUAGGGAACAAAUGCAUGAAAUGAAAUCCGAAUAAAAACAUUUUAAGGUCGUUGGUACAGAUCAUGCCAAGUGUUUCUUUUUCGUCCAUUAUGGUUGAAUUACCCUAUACCCAUACCCGUAGCAAGAGAAUAAAGGGCAGUCUUUCCAGCCUCUGUCGGCAAAGGUAGUUCCACCGUAAAACAUUGUUACCUAUACUAGGUUUAUUUAAAGAAAAAACAAACAAUUUAAUUAUUUAGCUUUGACAUGGAUAGUUCCAUUGGUGUUGUAAAAAGGUAUCCACUUUAAAGUAAUAGGUAAACCUGGGCUUUUAAUUUUUGCUCUUAAUGUAUUCAAAUUUCACUAAUUUAUAUUGACUACAUAAAGUUAACCAUUGGAAUCCAACUCAUCAAGUCUUUUCCUGAUUGCUACUGUGUCCACUCCUGGAUUAUUGUACUUCAAUGCCAGUUCCAGUUGUUUUCUUUCCAUGCCAUCAACUCUUCCGUACAAAGUUUUACCAAGUUCUUUAUCAACAUCAUUUUCUUCUCUCAGGACACAAUACCAUAGCAAUAUGGCUGCAAUGCUAGCUGAAAUGACAAAGGGCUGAUACCAUGGUGAAUCAUCAGAAA